AACGAACGCUGGCUGCAUGUCUAACACAUGCAAGUCGAACGAUCCUUUCUGGUCUAGUGGCGCCCGUGUGCGUAACGCGUUGGCACCUGCUCUUCGGUUCGGAAUAACUCCCCGACCUGGGUUCUAAUUCCUGUUCUUGUCUUUGGCCCAAAGAUUUAUCGCCUUUGGAUGGGCCCGCGUUGGAUUAGCUAGUUGGUAGGGGAAAAGCCUACCAAGGCGACGAUCCAUAGCUGGUCUGAGAGGAUGAUCAGCCACACUGGGACUGAGACACGGCCCAGACUCCUACGGGAGGAAGAAGUGGGGAAUAUUGGACAAUGGGAGAAAGCCUGAUCCAGCAAUGACGCGUGAGUGAUGAAGGCCUUAGGGUUGUAAAGAUCUUUUACCAGGGAUGAUAAUGACAGUGCCGGGAGAAUAAGCUACGGCUAACUCAGUG
rnacentral:rRNA from 1 species